rnacentral:lncRNA from 1 species
UAGUUUCGAGUUAUCUAUAACUUCGUUGAUCAAACAAUCAUUAUUACACUCUCAAAAAUCAACAACUCUAUCAAUUAGUAACAUUUUACUAAUGAAGGAUCCAAAAUUAAAGCGAUGUUUCUUAAUAGUCAUAAAAAAUUACAAACACUAAUGAAGAGAGGAAGGGAAUGAUCAUUAUUCUUAGCUCAAGAAUCUUCCACAAGGAAAAUUGACAAGGGAGAGGCAAUUUACUUGCAGCAACAUUACAUAUUUAGACAAAGCGGCCGGACCGGGCUCGACGAUAUCGGAAUUAAUUGAUUCUAUGAUCUACUUAAUAGUAGAGAGAGGAGACUCUUUCAAACCUUAUCGAUCGGGCCGAACACGCAUAGGUGAAUAGUGGCGAGCAGAUACAGAACUAGACCUCCUUAGAACAAACAUGCCUGAAAAUCGAACCAUUGAAUUCAGAAUCCAAACUAAGUCCCCCAACACAUAAGCCAAUUCCUCGUAUAUGCUCAUGCUUUUCCUUAACAUUACACGCAUCACUACUGUCAUUGCAUCUCGAAAUCUAAUCAUUUUAAUGCUUUCUCUGAGAUGUGUGGAGAAAGUCACACGAGUUAUCAGUGUUCAAUGAAUUCCGAGUCUAUCUAUUAUAUGGGGCAACAAAACAAAGGCCAGAUGACCUAGAACUUCUUUCUUUCUUCCUUCUUCUUUCUUUCUUUUAAAUCUUUGAAUGAAUGAAAAUAAUAUGUGAACACUUGUGCACUAGUAUCAAUUAUUUGACAUUAAUUAUUAGUAUAAUAAAACUCUAAAGAAAGAAAGAAGUACUAAAGGGCAUGGUAGACUUACUUAAAUACCCUUUUUCUUUAACUUAUCAAAGCUUCUCACUACUUGUGAAAAAUUAAUGUAGAAGUUGAAGAAAAUGAUGAAUUCUAGUGCUUUAUUUAAAGAAAAGCAACCAUUUCCUUGCAGCUUGUUUUCUUGGAAUCUCAGCUCCAAAACUGCAAAGAAAACAUUGUUAGAACUGAUCAAAAGGGGUUUUCUAUAAAUCAGAUUAAAAAAGCUGAAGAUUGAAUUUUUACUUUAGUUUUUACCAAGGUGCUUUUGAUAGAGCCAUGUUGUAAAUCCAUAUUUAUUCACAUUAAUUAAGCUGCGCUAUUUGGCUAUCCUUUUUCUUUCUUUGUUCUUUUUGUAAAUGUGAGAUAAAGGGGCAAAAAUGUCAAAAGAAUCAAAGGAUGUCUGACAGGUAUGAGAAAAUUAAGAAAUGAGCACAUAAUGAAAUCAUUC